rnacentral:rRNA from 1 species
AGAGUUUGAUCCUGGCUCAGAAUCAACGCUGGCGGCGUGCCUAACACAUGCAAGUCGCACGAGAAAAGGGUAGCAAUACCUGAGUACAGUGGCGCACGGGUGAGUAACACGUGAAUAAUCUACCUCCGAGUGGGGAAUAACUUAGGGAAACCUGAGCUAAUACCGCAUAACACUUACGAGUCAAAGCAGCAAUGCGCUUGGAGAGGAGUUCGCGGCAGAUUAGUUAGUUGGCGGGGUAAUGGCCCACCAAGACGAUGAUCUGUAUCCGGCCUGAGAGGGCGCACGGACACACUGGAACUGAAACACGGUCCAGACUCCUACGGGAGGCAGCAGUGGGGAAUUUUGCGCAAUGGGGGAAACCCUGACGCAGCAACGCCGCGUGGAGGAUGAAAUCCCUUGGGAUGUAAACUCCUUUCGAUCGGGACGAUUAUGACGGUACCGGAAGAAGAAGCCCCGGCUAACUUCGUGCCAGCAGCCGCGGUAAUACGAGGGGGGCGAGCGUUGUUCGGAAUUAUUGGGCGUAAAGGGUGCGUAGGCGGUUUGAUAAGUCUGAUGUGAAAUCUAUGGGCUCAACCCAUAGUCUGCAUUAGAAACUGUCGGGCUUGAGUAUGGGAGAGGUGAGUGGAAUUUCCGGUGUAGCGGUGAAAUGCGUAGAUAUCGGAAGGAACACCUGUGGCGAAAGCGGCUCACUGGACCAUUACUGACGCUGAUGCACGAAAGCUAGGGGAGCAAACAGGAUUAGAUACCCUAGUAGUCC